rnacentral:rRNA from 1 species
AUGUGCACCACCCGCAUCCUCGACGGCCCGGCGCGCAGCUCCCUCAGCGCCGCCGGAUGCCGGAUGAUGGCGAACACCACGCCCAGCACGAACACGAUCACCGCCGACGGGAUCGCCGACGCCCAGCGCCGCCUCCAGCUACGCCAGCCUCCGGAAGAACGGCUGUUGUUUCCUUCCCCAUCUUCUUCUUCUUGGGCUCCUUGGACGUGGUCUUGGCCGGCGCCGUUGACGAGGACGAUGAAGCAUACGGCGGCGAUAGCGAGAACGAGGCCAUCGAGCCCGGCCCAUGGGCGAAGCUUCCCCACCGCGGACUUGCCCUUGCCAAGGUCCUGCUCGUAG